rnacentral:rRNA from 1 species
UGGGGAAUAUUGCACAAUGGGCGCAAGCCUGAUGCAGCCAUGCCGCGUGUGUGAAGAAGGCCUUCGGGUUGUAAAGCACUUUCAGCGGGGAGGAAGGCGAUAAGGUUAAUAACCUUGUCGAUUGACGUCACCCGCAGAAGAAGCACCGGCUAACUCCGUGCCAGCAGCCGCGGUAAUACGGAGGGUGCAAGCGUUAAUCGGAAUUACUGGGCGUAAAGCGCACGCAGGCGGUCUGUCAAGUCGGAUGUGAAAUCCCCGGGCUUAACCUGGGAACUGCAUUCGAAACUGGCAGGCUAGAGUCUUGUAGAGGGGGGUAGAGUCCCAGGUGUAGCGGUGAAAGGCGUAGAGAUCUGGAGGAAUACCGGUGGCGAAGGCGGCCCCCUGGACAAAAACUGACGCUCAGGUGCGAAAGCGUGGGGAGCAAACAGG